CCGUGUUAGCCAGGAUGGUCUCGAUCUCCUGACCUCGUGAUCUGCCCACCUCGGCGCCCCAAAGUGCUGGGAUUACAGGCAUGAGUCACCGCACCCAGCCCCUGAGUACUAUUAAAAAAAAAAAACAAAAAAACAGUUUAUGUGCAAGGUGUAUAAGAAAAGUAAAAUAUACCUUUGGUAAAAAAAAUUAUAAAGGGGCAUAAAAAUGUGGAUUUUUACCUACAUUAAAAGGUUAAAAAAAUUAUUGUUUUAAGAGUUCAAGCAAAUUUUAAAAAGUAAAUUGUAAAGAAAAUUCUGUGUGUAAACAUAUUAACUAAAGUUAAAAAGGUAUCAUCCAGUUUUUCUGUGAACUGGACAUUAAAGUGAAAAUGCAACAGGUUUUUCUUAAAGCAUCAACCUGCUCUUUAACAAAAAUUAUAAAAGGUUAAAAAGAGUCUAUAAAAUCUUACCUUAUGGUCAAACAUGAAAAAUUGGAUAAAUAUGUCUACAAGGUUUUAUUAAAAUUAAGUUUAACAUUAAUAACACACUAAUAUAAAGGUAAAAUUUAGCUUAUCUGGUAUAAAAAUCAUACAAGAGGCCGGGCGCGGUGGCUCACGCUUGUAAUCCCAGCACUUUGGGAGGCCGAGGCGGGCGGAUCACGAGGUCAGGAGAUCGAGACCACGGUGAAACCCCGUCUCUACUAAAAAUAGAAAAAAUUAGCCGGGCGUGGUGGCGGGUGCCUGUAGUCCCAGCUACUCGGAGAGGCUGAGGCAGGAGAAUGGCAUGAACCCGGGAGGCAGAGUUUGCAGUGAGCCGAGAUUGUGCCACUGCACUCCAGCCUGGGUGACAGAGCAAGACUCCGUCUCAAAAAAAAAAAAAAAUAAAAAAUAAAAAAAAAAAAAAAUAGCCGGGCGCGGUGGCUCAAGCCUGUAAUCCCAGCACUUUGGGAGGCCGAGGCGGGUGGAUCACGAGGUCAGGAGAUCGAGACCAUCCUGGCUAACACAGUGAAACCCCAUCUCUACUAAAAAAUACAAAAAAUUAGCCGGGCGUGUUGGCGGGCGCCUGUGGUCCCAGCUACUCGGGAGGCUGAGGCAGGAGAAUGGCGUGAACCCAGGAGGUGGAGGUUGUGGUGAGCCGAGAUCGCGCCACUGCACUCCAGCCUGGGGGACAGAGAAAGACUCCGUCUCAAAAAAAAAAAAAAAAAAAAAAAAAAAAAAAAAAAAAAAAAAAAAAAUAAAAAUCAUACAAGAAGCAUUAUUAAAUAUAAAAUGGUGUUUAGCUUUCUUUGGUCUAAAAACUAAUAAAAGGCCGGGCGCAGUGGCUCAAGUCUGUAAUCCCAGCACUUUGGGAGGCCGAGGCAGGCGGAUCACGAGGUCAAGAGAUGGAGACCAUCCUGGCUAAUCCGGUGAAACCUCGUCUCUACUAAAAAUACAAAAAAAUUAGCCAGGCAUGGUGGCGGGCAUCUGUAGUCCCAGCUACUUGGGAGGCUGAGGCAGGAGAAUGGUGUGAACCCAGGAGGCGGAGCUUGCAGUGAGCCGAGAUCUUGCCACUACACUCCAGCCUGGGCGAUGGAGCAAGACUCCAUCUCAAAAAAAAAUAAUAAUAAUAAAAAAUAAUAAAAAAUAAAAAAAAUAAAAACUAAUAAAAAUAGGUGCUAAAGGAAACAUUCAUUUUACUAGAGGAUCAUAGAAGUUUAAGACUUAAAACAAACUUUGGCAAUUAAGACAGCAUACCAAGAUGCAAAAUGCCUGGUUGAAAUGGAUCAGAUAUUUCAUCUCACGUUAAACAAAAGCAAUUGUUAUGCUUGUGCACAUGGCAGGCCAGAGGCCCUGACUGUCCCCCUUCCACUAAAGUGGUACUCCAGUCGACCAGGCAUGGGCUGCACUGUAGCUCUUUUCCAGGAUUCUACAGCCUGGAGCAGUAAGUCAUGCGAAGCUCUCUCUGCUAUAUCCCGAAGUCCCUGCGGGUCAGCCCCCGAGGGCCAUCCAGCUUCUGUCUCCCAACACUAAGUUCACUUUUUGUCUCUCACGGCAGGGAGGAGACAGCAUUCCUUGGAGACCUGAAGGGAUGUGAUGAGCUUAAGAAUUUUCGAGAGCUUAUCAAUCAGUCAGCCCUUGUUCAUCCCUGAGUGGAUGUGUGGUGGUAUUGGGGUGGACCUUUACUGGGCACUCUGCCGAAUAACUGGAGUGGUACUUGUGCUUUAGUCUGUUUGGCUACCCCUUUCACCCUGGCAUUUCAUCAACCAGAGGAGAAAAAAAAACAAGACAUCGUAAAGAGAGAGAAGCCCCUUAUGGGUCUUUCGACUCUCACAUCUAUUUAGAUGCAACUGGAGCCCCGCAAGGAAUACCAGAUCAAUUUAAAGCUUGAAAUCAAAUAGUCGGCCGGGCGCUGUGGCUCACGCUUGUAAUCCCAGCACUUUGGGAGGCCGAGGCGGGCGGAUCACGAGGUCAGGAGAUCGAGACCACGGUGAAACCCCGUCUCUACUAAAAAUACAAAAAAAUUAGCCGGGCGUGGUGGCGGGCGCCUGUAGUCCCAGCUACUCGGAGAGGCUGAGGCAGGAGAAUGGUGUGACCCCGGGAGGCGGAGCUUGCAGUGAGCCGAGAUCACGCCACUGCACUCCAGCCUGGGUGACAGAGCGAGACUCCGUCUCAAAAAAAAAAAUAAAAAAAAAGAAAUCAAAUAGUCACAGGAUUUAAGUCAAUAUUUUAGUAGAUGACGGUUAAUAAAAAUGUCGAUUAGAUAAACUACAUCUAUUACAACCAACAGCAACGAGCUUUUCAUGAGUUUAAAAGAAAAACUCAUGUUGGCCCCAGCCCUGAGGCUACCUGACCUGACAAAACUCUUUACACUCUAUGUGUCAGAAAGAGAAAACAUGGCAGUUGGAGUUUUAACCCAGACCAUCAGGCCCUGGCCAAGGCCAGUGGCCUAUCUCUCAAAACAACUAGACGGGGUUUCCAAAGGCUGGCCCCCAUGUCCAAGGGCCCUGGCAGCAAUGGCCCUGUUAGCACAAGAAGUAGAUAAGUUAACUCUUAGGCAAAACCUAAACAUAAAGUCCCCCCAUGCUGUGGUGACUUUAGUAAAUACCAAAGGACAUCAUUAGCUAAUGAAUUCUAGACUAACUAGAUACCAAAGUUGCUCUGUGAAAAUCUCCACACAACCAUUGAAGUUUGCAACACCCUAAACCCUGCCACCUUGCUCCUGGUAUCAGAGAGCUCAGUUAAACAUAACUGUGUAGAGGUGUUGGACUCAGCUUAUUCUAGCAGGCCCAACCACUGAGACCACCCUUAAACAUCAGUAGACUGGGAACUGUACGUGGACGGGAGCAGCCUCACCAACCCCUGCAAAGUGACUCUGAAAAAGACGACAAGCCCUGCUCCAGUCACACCCGGAAGCUGACUGGUCCACACAUGGCCGAAGCAUGAGGAAACUCAUUGCGGGACUCAUUUUCCUUAAAAUUUGGACUUGUACAGUAAUGACUUCAACUGACCUUCCUCAGACUGAGAACUGUUUCCAGUACAUACAUCAAGUCACUGAGGGAGGACAAAAGAUUGCUAUUAUUUUAUGGUUAUUAUAAGUGUAUCAGGACUCUAAAAGAAACUUGUUGUAUAAUGCUAUUCUAUCCAAGGUAUGUAGCCCAGGAAAUAACCAACCUGAUGCAUGUUAUGACCCAUUUUAAGCCUCCCAUGAUCACAGGACUGGUCUUUUUCUAGGUGACACAAGUAAGGUAAUAGCUAGAACAGAAGAAAGAGGGGUCCCUAAAAAUGUAACCUUAAAAUUUGAGGCUUGUGCCACUAUUAAUAGUAAGCAGCAUGGAAUAGGAUGUGGUUCUCUAAAUUGGAAAAAAAGUUACACAGUAAAAAAAAAUAAGUAUAUCUGUCAAGAAUCGUAUUUAUGUGAGAUGUGUCAAUACUGCUCUUGUGGCCGGGCGCGGUGGCUCACACCUGUAAUCCCAGCACUUUGGGAGGCCGAGGCAGGCAGAUCACGAGGUCAGGUGAUUGAGACCAUCCUGGCUUACACAGUGAAACCCCGUCUCUACUAAAAAUACAAAAAAAAAAUUAGCCGGGUGAGGUGGCGGGUGCCUGUAGUCCCAGCUACUUGGGAGGCUGAGGCAGGAGAAUGGCGUGAACCCCGGGGGGCAGAACCUGCAGAGAGCC